rnacentral:misc_RNA from 1 species
CCGAGUAAAGGGUCUCUAAGGCCCGCACUCCCACCCUUUGUGUACCUACCUUUGUUGCUUUGGCGGGCCGCGCCGCGGCCUCCGUGUAGCCGCCGGCUUCGGCUGGUGAGCGCCCGCCAGAGGACCUUCAAAACUCUGUUUAUCGGUGUCGUCUGAGUUAAACAUCAAUAAAUUA